UAGUCUGCAACUCGACUACAUGAAGCCGGAAUCGCUAGUAAUCGCGGAUCAGAAUGCCGCGGUGAAUACGUUCCCGGGUCUUGUACACACCGCCCGUCACACCAUGGGAGCCGGAAAUGCCCGAAGUCAGUGACCCAACCAAUAAGGAGGGAGCUGCCGAAGGCAGGUCUGGUGACUGGGGUGAAGUCGUAACAAGGUAAC
rnacentral:rRNA from 1 species